rnacentral:rRNA from 1 species
GGGUUGUGAGGUUAAGCGACUAAGCGUACACGGUGGAUGCCCUGGCAGUCAGAGGCGAUGAAGGACGUGCUAAUCUGCGAUAAGCGUCGGUAAGGUGAUAUGAACCGUUAUAACCGGCGAUUUCCGAAUGGGGAAACCCAGUGUGAUUCGUCACACUAUCAUUAACUGAAUCCAUAGGUUAAUGAGGCGAACCGGGGGAACUGAAACAUCUAAGUACCCCGAGGAAAAGAAAUCAACCGAGAUUCCCCCAGUAGCGGCGAGCGAACGGGGAGCAGCCCAGAGCCUGAAUCAGUGUGUGUGUUAGUGGAAGCGUCUGGAAAGGCGCGCGAUACAGGGUGACAGCCCCGUACACAAAAAUGCACAUGCUGUGAGCUCGAUGAGUAGGGCGGGACACGUGGUAUCCUGUCUGAAUAUGGGGGGACCAUCCUCCAAGGCUAAAUACUCCUGACUGACCGAUAGUGAACCAGUACCGUGAGGGAAAGGCGAAAAGAACCCCGGCGAGGGGAGUGAAAAAGAACCUGAAACCGUGUACGUACAAGCAGUGGGAGCACGCUUAGGCGUGUGACUGCGUACCUUUUGUAUAAUGGGUCAGCGACUUAUAUUCUGUAGCAAGGUUAACCGAAUAGGGGAGCCGAAGGGAAACCGAGUCUUAACUGGGCGUUAAGUUGCAGGGUAUAGACCCGAAACCCGGUGAUCUAGCCAUGGGCAGGUUGAAGGUUGGGUAACACUAACUGGAGGACCGAACCGACUAAUGUUGAAAAAUUAGCGGAUGACUUGUGGCUGGGGGUGAAAGGCCAAUCAAACCGGGAGAUAGCUGGUUCUCCCCGAAAGCUAUUUAGGUAGCGCCUCGUGAAUUCAUCUCCGGGGGUAGAGCACUGUUUCGGCAAGGGGGUCAUCCCGACUUACCAACCCGAUGCAAACUACGAAUACCGGAGAAUGUUAUCACGGGAGACACACGGCGGGUGCUAACGUCCGUCGUGAAGAGGGAAACAACCCAGACCGCCAGCUAAGGUCCCAAAGUCAUGGUUAAGUGGGAAACGAUGUGGGAAGGCCCAGACAGCCAGGAUGUUGGCUUAGAAGCAGCCAUCAUUUAAAGAAAGCGUAAUAGCUCACUGGUCGAGUCGGCCUGCGCGGAAGAUGUAACGGGGCUAAACCAUGCACCGAAGCUGCGGCAGCGACGCUUAUGCGUUGUUGGGUAGGGGAGCGUUCUGUAAGCCUGCGAAGGUGUGCUGUGAGGCAUGCUGGAGGUAUCAGAAGUGCGAAUGCUGACAUAAGUAACGAUAAAGCGGGUGAAAAGCCCGCUCGCCGGAAGACCAAGGGUUCCUGUCCAACGUUAAUCGGGGCAGGGUGAGUCGACCCCUAAGGCGAGGCCGAAAGGCGUAGUCGAUGGGAAACAGGUUAAUAUUCCUGUACUUGGUGUUACUGCGAAGGGGGGACGGAGAAGGCUAUGUUGGCCGGGCGACGGUUGUCCCGGUUUAAGCGUGUAGGCUGGUUUUCCAGGCAAAUCCGGAAAAUCAAGGCUGAGGCGUGAUGACGAGGCACUACGGUGCUGAAGCAACAAAUGCCCUGCUUCCAGGAAAAGCCUCUAAGCAUCAGGUAACAUCAAAUCGUACCCCAAACCGACACAGGUGGUCAGGUAGAGAAUACCAAGGCGCUUGAGAGAACUCGGGUGAAGGAACUAGGCAAAAUGGUGCCGUAACUUCGGGAGAAGGCACGCUGAUAUGUAGGUGAAGUCCCUCGCGGAUGGAGCUGAAAUCAGUCGAAGAUACCAGCUGGCUGCAACUGUUUAUUAAAAACACAGCACUGUGCAAACACGAAAGUGGACGUAUACGGUGUGACGCCUGCCCGGUGCCGGAAG